GUUCUUUUAUUUAGGAAAAAAAGCUUGAUAGGAAAUGAUUAAGCCUUGAUUGUACUAAAUGAAUAAGUGACAGCUAACUAUGUGCCAGCAGCUGCGGUAAAACAUAGGUCACGAGCAUUAUCCGGAUUUAUUGGGCGU
rnacentral:rRNA from 1 species